GCAUCGGUGGUUCAGUGGUAGAAUGCUCGCCUGCCACGCUUGCGGCCCGGGUUCGAUUCCCGGCCGAUGCA